UACGUAGGGUGCGAGCGUUGUCCGGAAUUACUGGGCGUAAAGAGCUCGUAGGUGGUUUGUCGCGUUGUCCGUGAAAACUCACAGCUUAACUGUGGGCGUGCGGGCGAUACGGGCAGACUGGAGUACUGCAGGGGAGACUGGAAUUCCUGGUGUAGCGGUGGAAUGCGCAGAUAUCUGGAGGAAUACCGGUGGCGAAGGCGGCAUCCUGGACCGACAUUGACGCUGAACGGCGAAAGCUAGGGGAGCAAACGGG
rnacentral:rRNA from 1 species